GACGAACGCUGGCGGCGUGCUUAACACAUGCAAGUCGAACGGAAAGGCCCUGCUUGCAGGGUACUCGAGUGGCGAACGGGUGAGUAACACGUGGGUGAUCUGCCCUGCACUUCGGGAUAAGCCUGGGAAACUGGGUCUAAUACCGGAUAGGAGCCAUUUUUAGUGUGAUGGUUGGAAAGUUUUUUCGGUGUAGGAUGAGCUCGCGGCCUAUCAGCUUGUUGGUGGGGUAAUGGCCUACCAAGGCGGCGACGGGUAGCCGGCCUGAGAGGGUGGACUGCCACAUUGGAACUGAGAUACGGCCCAGACUCCUACGGGAGGCAGCAGUGGGGAAUAUUGCACGAUGAGCGCAAGCCUGAUGCAGCGACGCCGCGUGGGGGAUGACGGCCUUCGGGUUGGAAACUCCUUUCGCUAGGGACGAAGCUUUUUGUGACGGUACCUAGAGAAGAAGCACCGGCUAACUACGUG
rnacentral:rRNA from 1 species